rnacentral:rRNA from 1 species
GUGAGCUCGAUGAGUAGGGCGGGACACGUGGUAUCCUGUCUGAAUAUGGGGGGACCAUCCUCCAAGGCUAAAUACUCCUGACUGACCGAUAGUGAACCAGUACCGUGAGGGAAAGGCGAAAAGAACCCCGGCGAGGGGAGUGAAAAAGAACCUGAAACCGUGUACGUACAAGCAGUGGGAGCCUCUUUAUGGGGUGACUGCGUACCUUUUGUAUAAUGGGUCAGCGACUUAUAUUCUGUAGCAAGGUUAACCGAAUAGGGGAGCCGAAGGGAAACCGAGUCUUAACUGGGCGUUAAGUUGCAGGGUAUAGACCCGAAACCCGGUGAUCUAGCCAUGGGCAGGUUGAAGGUUGGGUAACACUAACUGGAGGACCGAACCGACUAAUGUUGAAAAAUUAGCGGAUGACUUGUGGCUGGGGGUGAAAGGCCAAUCAAACCGGGAGAUAGCUGGUUCUCCCCGAAAGCUAUUUAGGUAGCGCCUCGUGAAUUCAUCUCCGGGGGUAGAGCACUGUUUCGGCAAGGGGGUCAUCCCGACUUACCAACCCGAUGCAAACUGCGAAUACCGGAGAAUGUUAUCACGGGAGACACACGGCGGGUGCUAACGUCCGUCGUGAAGAGGGAAACAACCCAGACCGCCAGCUAAGGUCCCAAAGUCAUGGUUAAGUGGGAAACGAUGUGGGAAGGCCCAGACAGCCAGGAUGUUGGCUUAGAAGCAGCCAUCAUUUAAAGAAAGCGUAAUAGCUCACUGGUCGAGUCGGCCUGCGCGGAAGAUGUAACGGGGCUAAACCAUGCACCGAAGCUGCGGCAGCGACACUAUGUGUUGUUGGGUA